GGCAAUGUGGCGGAGUGGUUAACGCGAUUGACUAGAAAUCAAUUUCCUUCGGGAGCAUCCGUUCGAAUCGGGUCAUUGUCG
rnacentral:tRNA from 1 species